rnacentral:lncRNA from 1 species
AUAACCCUGAUUACCCGUUCCCGUUAUCCUCACUUUAUGUCCCUAAACACUUGUCACAAGGGACCUAGCCUAAAGAAUAUCAUCGGGAUGGACACUACUGCUAAGGGGUUUCCUCAACCAUACAUGUCCUAAAGGCAACCAUGAGGGGGAUGGAGUACAGCGAAUGAACACUCUUAGUUCAUUAACACCUACAGGUUGCGGACCUGCUAAUGUUUCCCACUGGACUGUCUAGAAAGUCCGUGGUCGUCAUCCAAACUCCGCUAGAUGACUGGAUCUCAAAACACAUCGAGGCCUCUCAUCAAUUUUAUUUUAUCACACAUCACAAUCUACCCAUGUUCUACCCAACAUAUUUGUAGAUAAAAAUACUUAUACAGUUUAAAACUUGUAUAAAACAUCAACACAACAAUCACCUCAAAUAAAUAAUUAAUAUAUUUACACAUAGCACGUAUUAUAAGGUAAAUACUUCAUAUCUAUGUGUAAAAUGAAAGUGACUAUACACUCACAUGAUUUGAUGAUAAUCGGGCAGCAAUUCGUUUCCUAAAACGAUCGUUUCUAAUAAAACCGGGAGUUUUAUUGAGAAACCGGGCUUUGUAAAAGUCGGGCUUCGAAACCGAAAAGAUAAAUUUUCCGGGCUUCUCGGGCACUUCGUGGGGUAUUCCGGGCUUUACAAUCGAUACCGGGGCUUUGCGGGAUGUUAAUAUGAAGAAAAUAUGGGUUUAGUGGCUAAAUAUGGCAAAAUUCCAAAAAUACCUGGGAGGUCUCGCACCCUCCUAUUUAUAGGGGGAAGGUUCUGAUCGGACGACCAGGAGGCUUCUGAUCCGACAGCUGAGAAGGCUCGCAGAGGGGGAGACUCGCAUGAGGGCUACGCGUGCGAAGGGCUCUCUGGCGGCUUGUGAUUGGACCGAGAUCUAGGGUCCGAAGUAGGGGGUUCGUGGCGCCUGCGAGGGUUCGGACUCAUGAGUCACUACACACGCGUCGGAUGCGAGGUUCGCCACCGAGGCGUCUACGUGUAGUCAGCGGAUUGGACCGCAGCUCGAACUCGGAAGGACAUGACACGCCUCGCCAGGUGGCUUCGUGACUCAGCAGCCUGGUGACUCAGCUGCUUCGGUGACUAAGCAGGACACGUGUCACAUGCGAGGCGAGGGUGACGUGGCAAAGUGUGACUAUGCGAAAUUUCUCGGUUUUCGCGCCAAAACUUCUAAAAUCCAUAACUUUCGCAUACGAGCUCCGUUUUUGACGUUCUUUAUAUGCACGCGUAGCUAAAAUUACGAUCUACAACUUCCGUUUAGACUUCGUCGGCUAAUUUUGACUUUAAAUUUUAUAUUAUUAUUUUUAACAGACCGGGACAGGAAAUCCGUUAAAAAUUCAUAACUUCUUCAUCCGACGUCCGUUUUCGUCAGACUUUUUACCGUUGUGCUCCUAAUGACGAGACCUUCAAUUCUCGUUUAGGUUGUGUCGGCUAAAAAUCGCUCGAUCUAAAAUUCGAGUUUUUUAGUUGUCUACUGCUACGCUGAAACUUCGAAAAAUCAUAACUUCCUCAUACGAAGUCAGAUUUGGGCGUUCUUUUUAUCGAACUUCUCGGUUUAACGAAUACUACAACUUUCGUUUAGAUUACUAAGGCUAAAAAGUAGUUUAUCAAAAACUCACUUUUUACGACAUUCAGCACCGUGCCGGUUUUGUCGCGAAACUUCGACAGGUCAUAACUUCUUCGUUAUAACUCGGAUUUUGGUAUUCUUUAUAUCCCCGAAAUCCUUGUUUCGACCACUACAACUUUAUGUAAAGAUAUCGGGCUUAUCUCACACUUUAAUUUUGACGCUUAUUUUUAUUCUUAAUUAAUUAAGCCCUAAUAAUUAAGCAUAAAACACAUAAUUCACAUAAUAUUCACAUAAUUCCUUUUCAUUUCUUCAAAAUGAGUUACAAAGGUUAACCUAGACUAUCAACUCAAUAUAAAUGCCUAGGCUAGAAACACGAGUGUUACAAUUCUCUCCCCCUUAGGAUGAUUCCGUCCCCGGAAUCACAUAUCACCAAACAACUGCGGGUAGCGACUCAUCAUGUCACUCUCCGUUUCCCAAGUGAGAUUUGGUCCAUUCGUAUGUUUCCAGCGCACAAGCACUAAAUCGACCAUCUUGCGUCGUAACUUCAUAGUCUUACGGUCAACGAUUGCCUCAGGUUCUUCGAUCAACCUCUUGUUUUCAUCCAACCUUAACUCAGAAAUCGGAAUUAUGUCGGGCACAUCUCCUGUGAACUUUCUCAAAUAACACACAUGAAAGGUGUUAUGAAUACCCUCUAGUUCUUCCGGUAACUCUAGCUUGUAAGCUUGAUUCCCGAUUCUCUGAAGAACUUUAAAUGGUCCAAUAAACCUUGGACUCAACUUCCCUCUCUUACCAAAUCUUAUAAGUCCCUUCCACGGCGAGACUUUAAGUAAAACCGAAUCUCCAACAUCGAAGGAUAUCGGUUGUCUUUUCUUGUCAGCAUAACUCUUUUGUCGAUCUUGAGCAGCUAACAUCCUUUCCCUUAUCACUUUCAACUUUUCAGCAGUCUCAUGGACUAUUUCAGGUCCCAUAAACUGCUUUUCCCCAGCUUCCAGCCAACAUGAUGGCGUUCGACACUUCUCCCCAUACAAAGCGUGAUAAGGUGCCAUCUUAAUGCUUGAGUGGAAACUAUUAUUAUAGGAGAAUUCUACUAAAGGUAAGUGUUCAUCCCAGUUACCUUGGAAUUCUAGGGUACAUGCUCUCAGCAUAUCCUCCAAUGUUUGAAUCGUUCGCUCGCUCUGACCAUCGGUUUGCGGAUGGUAAGCUGUACUCAAACACAACUUGGUACCCAAUUCCUCUUGUAGACUCCUCCAAAACCUUGAGGUAAAACGGCUGUCACGAUCGGACACAAUCGUUAAAGGAACACCAUGAAGCCUCACAAUUUCCUUUACAUAAGAAUUCGCAAGUUUAUCCAUAGACCACAUCUCUUUGGCUGCUAUGAAAUGCGCACUCUUAGUGAAGCGAUCAACGACCACCCAAAUCAUGUCGUGACCGUUUCUUGUUCUAGGCAGUUUAGUCACAAAAUCCAUGGUGAUGUCUUCCCAUUUACCCAUGGGUACGGGUAAAGGUUCUAAACUCCCAUACGGUUUCUGAUGUUGUGCCUUAAACCUAGCACAAGUUUCACACUCGGCCACGUACUUGGCAACAUCGAGCUUCAUCGUCGGCCACCAAUAAUAGGGUUUUAGAUCCCUAUACAUUUUCGUACUGCCGGGAUGAAUUGAGUACAUGGUCUUGUGAGCUUCUUCCAUCAGAAGAUCUCUUAUUCCGCCCGUCUUAGGUACCCAAAUUCUAUCUUGAAAUACCUUCAACCCUUGGUUGUUUGUACCGAACACUAACGUUUUGCCCAAACGUUCUUCCUUUCGGUCAUUUUUCUCUAAAGCUUCCUCUUGAGCUUUCUUUAUACUUUCCACAAUUGUCGAGACAACUUCAAUUCUCAACGCUCUUGGCCUUUUCUUUUCAAGGUUUACCUUCCGACUGAGAGCAUCAGCAACAACAUUUGCUUUACCAGGGUGGUAAAGUAUCUCACUGUCAUAGUCCUUGAGUAAAUCUAGCUAGUGUCGUUGCCUCAUAUUCAAUUCCUUCUGAUUAAAGACAUAUUGGAGACUCUUAUGAUCAGUGAAAAGUUUACACUUGAUACCAUAAAGAUAAUGCCUCCAUAUCUUCAAGGCAAAUACUACCGCUGCCAACUCCAGAUCAUGAGUGGGGUAGUUCUUUUCAUGUUCCUUCAAUUGCCUCGAUGCAUACGCGAUCACUUUAUCCCUUUGGGUCAGAACACAACCUAACCCAACUCCGGAUGCAUCGCUAUAAACUGCAAAGUCAUCAACUCCUUCAGGCAAUGAAAGAAUCGGUGCUUCACACAAUCUCUUCUUCAACUUCUCAAAGGCUUCCUUAUGCUUCUCAUUCCAAGCAUAAGUGGCUCCUUUGUGGGUCAAAGCUGUUAAUGGAGUAGCAAUCGAAGAAAAGCCUUGGAUAAACCUUCGGUAAUAUCCAGCUAAUCCUAAAAAGCUUCGAAUCUCCGUAGGACUUUUUGGUUGUUCCCACUUCAUUACAGCUUCAAUCUUUGCUGGGUCGACCAUUAUCCCUUCUUGGUUAACCACAUGACCUAAAAAUUGGACUUCUUGAAUCCAAAAUUCACACUUGGAGAACUUUGCAUACAGCUUCUCCUUUUUCAGGACUUCUAGCACUUCACGCAGAUGCUUUUCAUGCUCCUGCUUGCUUUUCGAAUAAAUCAAGAUAUCAUCUAUGAAUACUAUCACGGAUUUAUCUAAGAAUGGUUUACAAACCCUAUUCAUCAAAUCCAUGAAAGCUGCUGGGGCAUUGGUUAGUCCGAACGACAUAACCAAAAAUUCAUAGUGUCCAUAUCUCGUUCUAAAAGCAGUCUUUUCGAUGUCCUGCUCUCUCACCUUUAGUUGAUGGUAUCCCGACCUAAGAUCGAUCUUCGAGAAAUAGCUCGAACCCUGCAACUGGUCGAACAAGUCAUCGAUCCUUGGCAACGGGUACUUGUUCUUUAUCGUCACUUUGUUCAGCUCUCUGUAAUCGAUGCACAUUCUCAUGCUUCCGUCUUUCUUCUUUACAAAUAACACAGGGGCUCCCCAGGGUGAUGAACUAGGUCGAAUGAAACCUUUGUCCAAUAACUCCUGAAGUUGUGUCAUAAGUUCUUUCAUUUCGGUUGGCGCUAAUCGAUAAGGUGCUUUCGCUAUCGGCGUCGUUCCUGGUAACAAGUCGAUACGAAAUUCUACUUGUCGAUCAGGGGGCAAUCCGGGAAGAUCUUCGGGAAAGACUUCCGGAUAAUCACACACCACCGGAAUAUUCUGCACCUCCUUCUUUUCCAUCUUGGCAUCGAUCACGAACGCUAGAUAUGAUGUACAUCCCUUGGCCAAACACUUUCUGGCUUUCAUUAGGGAAAUGAUUCCAGAGUUUACUCUGCGUUUGUCUCCGUACACCAUAAACGACUCUUUCCCUGGCGGGUUUACUUUUACUAUCUUCUUUCUACAUAGUAUUUCUGCAUCAUUGGCGCUAAGCCAAUCCAUUCCUAAAACUAUGUCGAAUCCAUUUAACUCGAUAGGCAAUAAUUCCUCUUGGAACUUAUUCCCAUCCAAGUCAAUGAGGAUGUUUUUCAUACGAUGGCUAACAGGUACAAACUUGCCACUAGCAAUCUCGACUAAUAAGGCAUUAACUAGCCUAUCUACAGGCAAAGCUAGCUUUCUACCAAAUUCAUGCGAUAUAAAGGAGUAAUUGGCUCCAGAAUCAAACAAAAUUUGGGCAGGCAAUUCGUUUACGAGAAAGGUACCUGAAGCGACAUCGACUUCUUCUUUUGCAGCUUCAAGUGUCAUCUGAAAGGCUCUCGCCUUCGGCUUUGGUGGUAGAUUGGGCUUUGCGGCAUCCUUCCUCUUUGGACAGUCUUUAAGAACAUGCCCUACUUCAUGGCACUCAAAACAUACCCUCUUGUCGGACGGACACACGUUGGCAUAAUGCCCAGUCUUUCCACAUUUGAAGCAAGUCACCUCCUCACUACAUCUCCCAGAGUGCUUUCUCUUGCACUUCUCACACCAUUUCACUUCACCUCCUCCUCCUCCAAACUUCUUGGACUUAGAAAAUUUGCUUUUCUUGUUGGAACCCGAAGUUCCUUCAAAUUUUCUCUUUUCACCAACUUCUGCCCUCUCCAGACCCUUCUCUUUGAUCUGAACCUCGACAUUCUUAGCAGCCCAGAUGGCGGCUUUCAAAGUGGUUGCUUGCUUAACCAUCGGACCAAAGUCCGCUGGUAAUCCGAGGGCAAACUUGUUGACCUUAGAGAGUUCAGUUGGAACUAGAUGAGGAACUAGCUUCAUCUUUUCCAUAAAACUAGCAGCGUAUUCAGUAACGCUCAUCUUUCCUUUCUUUAAAUUCUGAAACUCAUUGUUGAUUUCCAGAAGAUCCUGCUCAGAGCAGUACUGCAAUUUCAGUUGUACCACAAAUUCUUCCCAAGACAUCUUACUAGCUUCACCCUUGGGCAUCGAAUCAGCUAGUAACUUCCACCAGCUCAACACACCAGACUUUAACAGAGGAAUUGCAAGUGCGGUCUUUUGUUUGUUGCUGCACUCGCAACUUUCAAACAUCGUCUCCAUUUCGGAGAUCCAAUUCAUGACUUCCACCGGUGUCGGACUCCCAGAUAGACACGGCGGUUUGGAUGCCAUGAAAUCUUUGUAUUUGCAUCCGCGUCCAUCAACUCCUCCAUCCUGGUUGUUUUGUCUAACUAUCGGUGGGUUGGCUUGACCAAGAGUCCCACUGUAGUUCCCUCCUACUGAUUGCCCUUCAUUCAAUACGGGCUGUUCAACAGGCAUCGUAGUCUCUUCCCUAUGUUGUUGUAGUAAUCGCCUUGUCUCCUCCAUUUGGCGAUCUAACAUCAUUUGCAUCAUUGCUUGUACCCCAGCCAUCGUCAUUGGCUCAGGUGCAGCUCCUACAACAGGUACUUGCUCAACUACUUGAGGUUGAGGCUGUUGAUCCCUGUUUCCGUUUGCAUUUGCAGCUCCACUACGAGUUAUGGCCAUUACAAUCUAUAUAACGAAUAAGGCGAAUUUAGGUCUUUAUCCUUGUUAGACAUGUCAAUUCCCUUAUCACUCCGAAACGUUUACAUGUUAGUUCUAAUCUCGUAAUCAUACGCUUAGAAUCCUACACACAUAAGGUUUCCAGAUCCGGUCGGCAACAGACCAUAGAUCCGAACAAAUAAUGGCACACAUGGCAAACACAUAGCAUUUAGCACAUAAGGGCAUUUUAGGCAUCUUCCCUAAAAUAAACUAGUGCUCGUGUCUAAAAUAUGGUAGACACUCAUCUCACAAUCAUCACUUAGCAUUCUAAGUUCAAGUCUAGAAAUUCUACAAUUUCUUAGUUCGCUUAAACUAAUGCUCUGAUACCAACUGUGACAUCCCCUAAUUUCUCGGCCAGAAAAGACCGAUUUAAUUUAUGCUUUUUAAAAUAAAAUCAGAGAAAUCUUUUUAAAAGAUGUUGCGGAAUUGGUCCCCAAACAAAAUAUGAUAAAAGUUUAUCAAAACCCUUCAUUAAGAAGGUAUAUGUUUUCCAUAUAUAUAUCAAAACCUCGGGAUGUCAUGUUCCGAUACAGAUCAAAAGCAUAAACAAGACAUUAUAAGCCUUUCAACAGUUAUUUACAACUACUGGCCUAUAAUCCAAAAAUCUCUCGUUGUCCUCCGACUAUGCUCGGGGUCCACUACCUGUAACAUAAAAAGCUGAGUGGGUCAGGCUUGGGAGCCUGGUGAGCAUAUAGGGUUUUCAACCCACAAUAAUAAUAAACUUACUAAGUUCAUCAAUCAACAAUAACCCUGAUUACCCGUUCCCGUUAUCCUCACUUUAUGUCCCUAAACACUUGUCACAAGGGACCUAGCCUAAAGAAUAUCAUCGGGAUGGACACUACUGCUAAGGGGUUUCCUCAGCCAUACAUGUCCUAAAGGCAACCAUGAGGGGGAUGGAGUACAGCGAAUGAACACUCUUAGUUCAUUAACACCUACAGGUUGCGGACCUGCUAAUGUUUCCCACUGGACUGUCUAGAAAGUCCGUGGUCGUCAUCCA